GGUGUGAGAAUAGCCGCUCCGGCUCCGCCGCCCCGACCAGCCCCUCGGGCCGGUACCGCGAGGCAGAGAUCAGGGCAUCUGUGCCAGCCAAGUCCCCAAAGAAGCCAUCACAACCUUCACAUCAACCACAGAUCGUAGUGAUCGGGGUUCGUCGGCAUGCCAGGAUUUGGCAGCCUGUGGCGAUGGCUGCGAAGAGAAUCGGCGAUCCCAGGUGUCGUGUACAGUGAUCAGCUGCAGAACAUCAAGGAGGAGCUCGAGCGCCAGCAGAACAUCCGGUGGGCUGGCAACUUGCGCAACGUGCGGCUCGAGUCGGCGCCGCAUCUCAUCGUGCGCACCAGCAGCAGUUCUGCCGCGCUACCUGGUCCGGAGGAGGAGCCGUACACCUUCUGGGAGCGCAUUGGCCUGGUGCCGGUGCACCCGUCGCGUGUGCGAGCAAGGCAGUACUACCAUCCUAUCACGGACUUUGCCCUGUACGACUACGACGAAGUCUCUCCAGAGGAGAAGGAGUUGACAGCGAAGUGGAUGGCGCGCGUUAUGGAAUUCAACGCUGCCACGCCUGCCGGCAUCCUAUGUGUGACGGGUUGCCUCGUGCUUCCGUUGCACACGGUCUACCGUAUGCCGCUUCUCGUCGCGGCUGGCAUCACCGGCGUGGCGGUGGAGGUGACACGGGCAUAUAUGGCGGCCUCGCAGCAACGGCAGGACUUGGACGACUUCCUACUGGCGAAGGAGAUAUGGUAUAUAAAGAAUGUGGAAACCUAUCAGCUCGGCAUCCCACGCAUUCCCCGCGGGCGUGAGCGGGAGUACCAGCAGUACGUCGAUGGAGGGGCGCCCAUGCAGCCGCAGGAGCUCCCUGAGGAGCUGGCGCGUGACUUGCACUAUUGAAGAUGGAGUCGCAUGGGCGUCUAUUCCGUUCACAUCUGCUCCCAUGCUCACUGGUGAACUGGCGGGGAGUGGAUGCCGUGCCAAGGCGCACAUCGUAACGCGUGCCUUGAUGUUUUGCGUGCCCGUGCUCGAUGUCACGAGGAGGAUCUGUCUUGUAUCUAGAGAAGGGGGUGUGGGGUGCAGCGCCAACAGACGGAGAAAAGACGACGCGCGGAGAGAUCCUGACCAGAAGCUGCGUUCACGCUGUGCUCCACCUGAGAGCUGGGCAACGGGGCAUUGCCCUUUGUUGUUCUUGCCACAUUUAGCUCUCUCCCCGCCCGCACGCAUCACACAAGACGCUGCCGCCUCCGCGUUUCGAGCGGCUGAUUUCGAUCAUCAUGGAUCUCUACUCGAGUGCUCACAUCUUCCUUCUGCCCCUUCUUCGUGCCUACUCUGCCAUCGAAUAAAUGGAAAAG
rnacentral:misc_RNA from 1 species